AUCACGCUAAGGAGAUCGUUGCAGUUAAGAUUAUGGAGCAGCUAUGGAUCGAGGGCAUCCGAAGGAAACUGAGAAUAGAAAAAGAUUCCCGUGUUUCCACAGAUAUCAAAAUUGUUCAUGGGGACAAGAAAACUGAGUUUAUGGAGAACUAUGUAGAAGAACUACAGAAGAAAACAAAGACCUUUUUCUUGGCAGCAAAACAGAGCAGCAAAAAUUAUUAUUUCCAUGCCUGUGAAAGAGGCAACAAACCAACAGGAAAAAGCAUGGGCAAGGCAUGUGAAACAAGGGCCAAUUCCUGUGAAGCCUAUGUGUCGUUUAAAUUUAUAAAGGAGACUGGUUUCACAGCAGUAGUAGUUCGGCAGCAAUUAACACACACAGGACAUGAUUUGUCAAACCCUGAAGAGAGGAAGAAAAAUGCAAUUAAUCCAGAAUUGUUAGGAUUUGUCGAAAUAUGGCUGACACAAGGUCUAUCCAUAUCACAGAUUGUCAUAAAAAGUAGUGAUUGGGCAUGUAGUCGGGGUUACACCGAUAAGCAUGACAGACAUUUCUUCCUAACUCCAGAAGAUGUAAGGUUGGUAAACGCCAUCUCCGUAUCUUCACUUUGCUGGACAUUAAUGAUGCUGUCAGUGUGGAAAAGCUGGUGACAGGUGAACUGAAAGAAAAGAUUUGCUUUUUUCAACCUUUGACAAAAGACCAGCCACUGGUUAUUGUUGUCCAGACACCACAACAGAAGGCUCUACUCCAAGAGAACCCCCACCCCAUGGUUUUUAUGGACGCAUCCUACAAAGGUUUGACAUCAUAUGGGUAUGCACUGUAUGCCCUUGUACUUGUCAAUCAAACUGGAAGAGGAGUGCCAUUUACGUACCUAAUAAUGAGCCAGGAAUCCUCAGCAAUAGUUGAGCUUAGCUUGAACAUGCUUUGUUCAAGAAAUCCAAACUUUUACCCAAGGUGAGAACAGUUCUUUUCAAAAGUCCAAUACCCAUACAAGCACAAAGGAGUUGUAAUACUGAGAGAUAACUGAAUACCUUUUGUAACUUAAACAAUGUUCAACUUACUACAUUUACCUAGAUGAAAUUGUGAUACUCCAGUAUUCUGCAAUAUUAUUAUCUAGGACUUAUUUUUCCUAGGUCAGUUAUGAUCGACAGAGACUUAAAAGAGCUCAAUGCCAUAAGAGAAGUUUUCCCCAAAACCAAAGUUCUCCUCUGUUGGUUUCAUGUUCUCCAGGCUGUACAUCGCUGAGUUACAUCAAGAGAUGGUGUGAACCUGUCACCUGACAAAAGACAUGUCGUCAUUCAUGCCAUGACCUCAAUGAAAGCUUGCAUAACGGAGGAAGAUUUUGUGACAGUUUCCACUAGCAUGUGCAAUGACCUUGAUGCCCAGCUUGGCAGCAAUCGAGUGACAACAUACCUGAAGGUGCACUGGCUUCCACAUGCAGCGCUAUGGGCCAAUUUUGGACGACUAUUUGAGCACAACAACAGCGACACCAACAACAAGGCAG